rnacentral:rRNA from 1 species
UACAGAGGGGGCAAGCGUUAUUCGGAAUUAUUGGGCGUAAAGGGCGCGUAGGCGGCUAUUCAAGUGGCGGGUGAAAUCCCUCGGCUUAACCGAGGAACUGCCUGCCAGACUGGAUGGCUUGAGACCGGGAGAGGUGAGUGGAAUUCCCAGUGUAGCGGUGAAAUGCGUAGAUAUUGGGAGGAACACCAGUGGCGAAGGCGGCUCACUGGCCCGUAACUGACGCUGAGGUGCGAAAGCGUGGGGAGCAACAGG